ACGAACGCUGGCGGCGUGCUUAACACCUGCAAGUCGAACGGAAAGGCCCUGCUUUUGUGGGGUGCUCGAGUGGCGAACGGGUGAGUAACACGUGAGUAACCUGCCCUUGACUUUGGGAUAACUUCAGGAAACUGGGGCUAAUACCGGAUAGGAGCUCCUGCUGCAUGGUGGGGGUUGGAAAGUUUCGGCGGUUGGGGAUGGACUCGCGGCUUAUCAGCUUGUUGGUGGGGUAGUGGCUUACCAAGGCUUUGACGGGUAGCCGGCCUGAGAGGGUGACCGGCCACAUUGGGACUGAGAUACGGCCCAGACUCCUUCGGGAGGCAGCAGUGGGGAAUAUUGCACAAUGGGCGGAAGCCUGAUGCAGCAACGCCGCGUGCGGGAUGACGGCCUUCGGGUUGUAAACCGCUUUCGCCUGUGACGAAGCGUGAGUGACGGUAAUGGGUAAAGAAGCACCGGCUAACUACGUG
rnacentral:rRNA from 1 species